rnacentral:rRNA from 1 species
AGGAAGAAGCUUGCUUCUUUGCUGACGAGUGGCGGACGGGUGAGUAAUGUCUGGGAAACUGCCUGAUGGAGGGGGAUAACUACUGGAAACGGUAGCUAAUACCGCAUAACGUCGCAAGACCAAAGAGGGGGACCUUCGGGCCUCUUGCCAUCGGAUGUGCCCAGAUGGGAUUAGCUUGUUGGUGGGGUAACGGCUCACCAAGGCGACGAUCCCUAGCUGGUCUGAGAGGAUGACCAGCCACACUGGAACUGAGACACGGUCCAGACUCCUACGGGAGGCAGCAGUGGGGAAUAUUGCACAAUGGGCGCAAGCCUGAUGCAGCCAUGCCGCGUGUAUGAAGAAGGCCUUCGGGUUGUAAAGUACUUUCAGCGGGGAGGAAGGGAGUAAAGUUAAUACCUUUGCUCAUUGACGUUACCCGCAGAAGAAGCACCGGCUAACUCCGUGCCAGCAGCCGCGGUAAUACGGAGGGUGCAAGCGUUAAUCGGAAUUACUGGGCGUAAAGCGCACGCAGGCGGUUUGUUAAGUCAGAUGUGAAAUCCCCGGGCUCAACCUGGGAACUGCAUCUGAUACUGGCAAGCUUGAGUCUCGUAGAGGGGGGUAGAAUUCCAGGUGUAGCGGUGAAAUGCGUAGAGAUCUGGAGGAAUACCGGUGGCGAAGGCGGCCCCCUGGACGAAGACUGACGCUCAGGUGCGAAAGCGUGGGGAGCAAACAGGAUUAGAUACCCUGGUAGUCCACGCCGUAAACGAUGUCGACUUGGAGGUUGUGCCCUUGAGGCGUGGCUUCCGGAGCUAACGCGUUAAGUCGACCGCCUGGGGAGUACGGCCGCAAGGUUAAAACUCAAAUGAAUUGACGGGGGCCCGCACAAGCGGUGGAGCAUGUGGUUUAAUUCGAUGCAACGCGAAGAACCUUACCUGGUCUUGACAUCCACGGAAGUUUUCAGAGAUGAGAAUGUGCCUUCGGGAACCGUGAGACAGGUGCUGCAUGGCUGUCGUCAGCUCGUGUUGUGAAAUGUUGGGUUAAGUCCCGCAACGAGCGCAACCCUUAUCCUUUGUUGCCAGCGGUCCGGCCGGGAACUCAAAGGAGACUGCCAGUGAUAAACUGGAGGAAGGUGGGGAUGACGUCAAGUCAUCAUGGCCCUUACGACCAGGGCUACACACGUGCUACAAUGGCGCAUACAAAGAGAAGCGACCUCGCGAGAGCAAGCGGACCUCAUAAAGUGCGUCGUAGUCCGGAUUGGAGUCUGCAACUCGACUCCAUGAAGUCGGAAUCGCUAGUAAUCGUGGAUCAGAAUGCCACGGUGAAUACGUUCCCGGGCCUUGUACACACCGCCCGUCACACCAUGGGAGUGGGUUGCAAAAGAAGUAGGUAGCUUAACCUUCGGGAGGGCGCUUACCACUUUGUGAUUCAUGACUGGGGUGAAGUCGUAACAAGGUAACCGUAGGGGAACCUGCGGUUGGAUCACCUCCUUACCUUAAAGAAGC